CGAUUGCAGCAGAAAGGUUCGAUUUGACAUUACUAUGUGAAGCUUUCCUAUUAGGUUAGCAAAGGACUCUAAACACAUUGCAACAGAUACAUGUAACAAAAUCGUAGACCUUCCCACCUAAGUGCAUUGAUUAACCUACCUCCUAUCAGUUGAUAGUGGCCUAGCUGUUGACAAUUGCAGGUUUAUCCAGCUUAGAAAUAUCUCAUACACCAAAACUAAGGAUGAUGGAAGCAGAAAGAAUUAACAAAUAAUUAUUUAUUGCCUAACUAGAAUUUCAAAUUAUUCUCAUGCUUCAGCAUAUAAUUUUUGCUCAUUGUGCACAAGAUCACAUCAACGCCAUCUUUCUAAUCUCAUAACAAUAUCAUGUCUUAAAAAAUGAAUCAGAAUGCAUGAAAACUCAGCAUAGAAAAUGUGG
rnacentral:lncRNA from 1 species